rnacentral:rRNA from 1 species
UGGGGAAUCUUGGACAAUGGGCGCAAGCCUGAUCCAGCCAUGCCGCGUGGAUGAUGAAGGCCUUAGGGUUGUAAAAUCCUUUCGUGGGGGACGAUAAUGACGGUACCCCAAGAAGAAGCUCCGGCUAACUUCGUGCCAGCAGCCGCGGUAAUACGAAGGGGGCUAGCGUUGUUCGGAUUUACUGGGCGUAAAGCGCGUGUAGGCGGGUCGUUAAGUUGGGGGUGAAAUCCCAAGGCUCAACCUCGGAACUGCCUUCAAAACUGGCGACCUGGACCCAAGUAGAGGCAAGUGGAAUUGCGAGUGUAGAGGUGAAAUUCGUAGAUAUUCGCAGGAACACCAGUGGCGAAGGCGACUUGCUGGACUUGUGGUGACGCUGAGACGCGAAAGCGUGGGGAGCAAACAGGAUUAGAUACCCACGUAGUCCCUGAGCGGGCUGGCAAGGCGCAU